UUUAUGAUUUGCAGGUUAUUUAAAACAGGACAACAAAAUAUUUAUUGUGCAAAACGUAAGACAUUUUUCUCCAACUUAACUAAAAUAACUUAUGUCUCAGAAGAUCCACAAACCUCAAUGCAUUUCAUCAGGAUUUAUGUGGCAGACCAAAACAUACUAGUGUGUAAAAAGAAGAAAAAUAAUGCUAAGGUUUUACAUUUUAAUUGCAAGUGUUACAAAUUUUAAUUUCACAGUAUUGCAAAGGUAUGCACAAGUAAGUGUCUGGAUAUAUUACACCAAAUCGAUUACGUUCUCACGUCAGGUGUUAAUGCUCAAAUCCAUUUUUUUGAUUUUGUGAUUGUUUAUAUUACAGUAUGAUGUGGUCACAGUCAGACUUCUGUGUGAACAGUUUACGACCCCAAAGUGUCAUAAACACGAGCAGAAAACAAAGGAUGCCAAGUAAAAAGAAAGUCAAUUAAUAGCUAAAGCUGUUUGUGUAGCAUUGACUGCAACUUCUGCACAGAAGUCUAUCUGGAUGCGAAGUCUGACUUCUUUCAUAAUUUUAUAGUUAUAAUUUACAAUGUCUAGCUUCUUCUGCUGAAUGAUUAUGAAGCUUGUCUUGCAUCAAUUAUGUAAAAGUCUGAUAAAAUGCUGCUUGACCGGUCUCACUGCAGACAUCUUUGAAAACUACGUAUCCGAUUUAGUACUACAUAUGGACAUGGGACAAACCAGAUUUUUUGCAUUGUUCUGACAUCCAUGAAAAAGUCAGACAUGGGUCGCAUUUGCUUGCUGAAUGAACGUUGCUGUAUUUUGGGAUGAGUCACUACCAGCUUCUCACAUCAGACUGACAACUUUGCCUCUAACAAACUUUCUUUCUAGUAUUGCUCUGUAUCUAGCACCAACUCUAACCAGCUUCCCUGUUUGUGCUGAAGGAAAAACACCCACACAGCUCCCAUUCCCAUUUUUCACAGUGGUGAUGUGCAGUGUUGACCUUCCACCAAGCAGCAUUUUGCAGGAAAGAAAGAAAAAAAAAAAGGGUAUAAUUUAGACUCAUCUGAUCAAAGGACCCUGUUGGGU